GUCGUAGCUCAAUUGGUAGAGCACCGGUCUCCAAAACCGGCGGUUGGGGGUUCAAGUCCCUCCGGCC
rnacentral:tRNA from 1 species